rnacentral:rRNA from 1 species
UGGGGGAUAUUGCACAAUGGGCGAAAGCCUGAUGCAGCGACGCCGCGUGGGGGAUGAAGGCUUUCGGGUUGUAAACCUCUUUCGCUAUCGAACAAGGCCCGCUUAGGGUGGGUUGAGGGUAGGUGGAGAAGAAGCGCCGGCUAACUACGUGCCAGCAGCCGCGGUAAUACGUAGGGCGCGAGCGUUGUCCGGAAUUAUUGGGCGUAAAGGGCUUGUAGGCGGCUUGUUGCGCCUGCUGUGAAAACGCGGGGCUUAACUUCGCGCGUGCAGGGGGUACGGGCAGGCUUGAGUGUGGUAGGGGUGACUGGAAUUCCAGGUGUAGCGGUGGAAUGCGCAGAUAUCUGGAGGAACACCGAUGGCGAAGGCAGGGCACUGGGCCAUUACUGACGCUGAGGAGCGAAAGCAUGGGUAGCGAACAGG